rnacentral:rRNA from 1 species
CCUACGGGGGACAGCAGUGAGGAAUAUUGGUCAAUGGGCGGGAGCCUGAACCAGCCAAGUCGCGUGAGGGAAGACGGUCCUACGGUUUGUAAACCUCUUUUGCCGGGGAGCAACGGGGUCCUUGCGAGGGCUCAAUGAGAGUACCCGGAGAAAAAGCAUCGGCUAACUCCGUGCCAGCAGCCGCGGUAAUACGGAGGAUUCAAGCGUUAUCCGGCUUUAUUGGGUUUAAAGGGUGCGUAGGCGGUCGGAUAAGUUAGAGGUGAAAUCCCGAGGCUCAACUUCGGAAUUGCCUCUGAUACUGUUCGGCUAGAGAGUAGUUGCGGUAGGCGGAAUGUAUGGUGUAGCGGUGAAAUGCUUAGAGAUCAUACAGAACACCGAUUGCGAAGGCAGCUUACCAAGCUACUUCUGACGUUGAGGCACGAAAGCGUGGGGAGCAAACAGGAUUAGAUACCCCAGUAGUC